rnacentral:rRNA from 1 species
CAACUUGACUGAAGGAGCAAUCUGACAGUAGAGUGGCGCAAGGGUGCGUAACGCGUAAGUAACUUGCCCAAGGUAAGGAAUAACGUCGAGAAAUCGGCGCUAAUACCUCAUAAUGCAGCGGAUCCGCAUGGAUAUGUUGUUAAAGGUUUACCGCCUUGGGAUAGGCUUGCGUCUGAUUAGCUAGUUGGUGUGGUAACGGCACACCAAGGCUACGAUCAGUAACUGGUCUGAGAGGAUGAUCAGUCACACUGGAACUGAGACACGGUCCAGACUCCUACGGGAGGCAGCAGUGAGGAAUAUUGGGCAAUGCUCGAAAGAGUGACCCAGCAACGCCGCGUGGAGGAUGAAGGUAUUCUAUAUCGUAAACUCCUGUGAGAGCAGACGAAAGACAGAUUAUUAAUCUGGAUGACUGUAUGCUCAGAGGAAGCCCCGGCUAACUACGUG